rnacentral:lncRNA from 1 species
AAACCUCGCACUUUAAUGGCAAUGUUAAAUAUAACAUUGAAAUGACAACAUAAUAUUACAGGACUACAAUACAAAUAAAUAGGAGAACGUAUUAGACAAAGAAUCACAUGAUUAAUGAAUAACAAAAGGCAUCAGGUUUAAAAUUCAAUACGUCAAAAACGUAUUAAAUUUUUUUAAAUGUCAGAAUAAUCAUUAAGUCUUCAAAAACAACAUCAACCUCCAAGGAAAAUUAAAAACGGAAAUUAUCUUAUCUAAUGGCAAAUCAAAAAGAUCAACAACAUCAAACUAAUGUAAAACAACUAUCAAAUUCCUUACUGGAUACAGGCA